GAUGAACGCUAGCUACAGGCUUAACACAUGCAAGUCGAGGGGAAACGAUAUUGGAAGCUUGCUUCCGAUAGGCGUCGACCGGCGCACGGGUGAGUAACGCGUAUCCAACCUGCCCACCACUUGGGAAUAACCUUGCGAAAGUAAGACUAAAACCCAAUGAUAUCUCUAGAAGACAUCUGAAGGAGAUUAAAGAUUUAUCGGUGAUGGAUGGGGAUGCGUCUGAUUAGCUUGUUGGCGGGGUAACGGCCCACCAAGGCGACGAUCAGUAGGGGUUCUGAGAGGAAGGUCCCCCACAUUGGAACUGAGACACGGUCCAAACUCCUACGGGAGGCAGCAGUGAGGAAUAUUGGUCAAUGGGCGAGAGCCUGAACCAGCCAAGUAGCGUGCAGGAUGACGGCCCUAUGGGUUGUAAACUGCUUUUAUAAGGGAAUAAAGUGAGUCUCGUGAGACUUUUUGCAUGUACCUUAUGAAUAAGGACCGGCUAAUUCCGUGCCAGCCGCCGCGGUAA
rnacentral:rRNA from 1 species